GACGAACGCUGGCGGCGUGCCUAAUACAUGCAAGUAGAACGCAGUUGCGAACGGGUGAGUAACGCGUAGGUAACUGCCUGGUAGCGGGGGAUAACUAUUGGAAACGAUAGCUAAUACCGCAUACUAACAGAUGGACCUGCGUUGUACUAGGUAGUUGGGGGGGUAACGGCCUACCAAGGCAACGAUACAUAGUCGACCUGAGAGGGUGAUCGGCCACACUGGGACCGAGGAACCGCCCAGAAUCCUACGGGAGGCAGCAGGAGGGAAUCUUCGGCAAUGGGCGGAAGUCUGACCGAGCAACGCCGCGUUAGUGAAGAAGGUUUUCGGAUCGUAAAGCUCUGUUGUAAGGGAAGCGGUAUCUUACCAGAAAGGGACGGCUAACUACGUGCCAGCAGCCGCGGUAAUAC
rnacentral:rRNA from 1 species